rnacentral:rRNA from 1 species
CCUACGGGUGGCAGCAGUGAGGAAUAUUGGUCAAUGGGAGAGAUCCUGAACCAGCCAAGUAGCGUGCGGGAUGACGGCCCUACGGGUUGUAAACCUCUUUUGUAGGGGAAUAAAACCCCGUACGUGUAGCGCUUUGCGUGUACCCUAUGAAAAAGCAUCGGCUAAUUCCGUGCCAGCAGCCGCGGUAAUACGGAGGGUGCGGGCGUUAUCCGGAUUUAUUGGGGUUAAAGGGUGCGUAGGCCGCACGUUAAGCGUGCGGUGAAAUGUGCGGGCUCAACCCGGGCCGAGCCGUGGGAACUGGCGUGCUUGAGUUCGCGGAAAGCAGGCGGAAUUCGUGGUGUAGCGGUGAAAUGCUUAGAUAUGGCGCAGAACUCCGAUUGCGAAGGCAGCGUGCUGGAGCCGGACUGACGCUGAGGCACGAAAGCGUGGGUAUCGAACAGGAUUAGAUACCCUAGUAGUC